AUUGAACGCUGGCGGCAGGCCUAACACAUGCAAGUCGAGCGCGCGGCGGACGGGUGUGUAAUGUAUGGGGACUGCCCGCUAGAGGGGGAUAACUCCUGGAAACAGGGGCUAUUACCGCAUACUGUAGGAUAACCCCUAUGGGAUUAGCUAGUAGGUAAGGUAAUGGCUUACCUAGGCGACGAUCCCUAGCUGGUCUGAGAGGAUGAUCAGCCACACUGGAACUGAGACACGGCCCAGACUCCUACGGAGGCAGCAGUGGGGAAUAUUGCACAAUGGGCGCAAGCCUGAUGCAGCCAUGCCGCGUGUAUGAAGAAGGCCCUAGGGUUGUAAAGUACUUUCAGUGGGGAGGCGUUACCGACAGAAGAAGCACCGGCUAACUCCGUGCCAGCAGCCGCGGUAAUAC
rnacentral:rRNA from 1 species